rnacentral:rRNA from 1 species
CGAGCACGCGCGUGUGGCAUAUCAAUAAGCGGAGGAAAAGAAACUAACAAGGAUUCCCUUAGUAACGGCGAGUGAAGCGGGAAGAGCUCAAAUUUGAAAUCUUCAAGGUUCUACCUUGACGAAUUGUAGUUUAUAGAAGUGUUUUCUGUUAGUAGAGUGGCAAAAGUUCUUUGGAAUAGGACAUCAUAGAGGGUGAGAAUCCCGUAUUUGGUCAUUCCUUCCUAGCGUUGUGAUACACAUUUCAACGAGUCGGAUUGUUUGGGAAUGCAGUCCAAAAUGGGUGGUAAAUUUCAUCUAAAGCUAAAUAUUGGCGAGAGACCGAUAGCGAACAAGUACCGUGAGGGAAAGAUGAAAAGAACUUUGAAAAGAGAGUUAAACAGUACGUGAAAUUGUCAAAAGGGAAGCGUUUGACACCAGUAUUGUUUUUCCGAAAAUCAAUUACGAAUGUUUUGUUUUUGAGGAGUUAUGACUUCAUCGGCUUGCUCCUUUCUUUACGAAACUUUCUUAAUGCACUUUUCGGUUAACAAGUCAACAUCAAUUUCUUUUGUUGUAAAAGGGUAUGAGGAAGGUGGCUUUCUUUUCGGAGAAAGUGUUUAUAGCCUUGUGCCUCUACAAUCGGAGAGAUUGAGGUCUGCAGCGUAGAUCCUUCGGGGUUAGAUACGUUUGUGCUAAGUUAUAGCUUUUCAUAGACAACUUGUUGACUAUGUUUAGUCUUGUAGCUUACUCGCUGACGCUAUUUUACCUACGCUUAGGAUGUUGAACUCUAUCACACACAG